UUUUUUGGUUCUUUUAACUUUUAAUAAUUAAUUCAAUAAUCUGUAACCUCUCUAUGUAUCUCUUCCUCAUUGUAUCUGAUUGAGUUUGAAUCAGUUUUUGAGCAGGACGUGGUGAUGCCAGAAGAUCUAGCGAAUGUCCUUAGGACAGCGAAAGAGAUUGUCGUUGCCACAGUCCUUCCCGUCACACUUUGCUUUUUGUACAUCUCUAUGCCUUGACGCCGCCGUAGGAACACGCUAUCAAAGCUUGCGGGGUUGGAGGGAGCUCGACGACGGAGGAGGCAAGCAUGGUCUCGUCAGAUACAACAGAGUCAGCAUUAUCUCAACAUUCCGGUCAUGAUAGGAUGAAGGGGAAGAAGAAGAAGGAGGAGACGAAGACGAGAGGCUGUGUGGUUGGCGUCAGUUAUAUCACCACCACCACCACCACCACCACUACCGUCACGCUUGUCACCACCAUGCUCCUUUCCAUUCGAGGCGGCUGGAAUCUUUUUUUUUCUAGGUUUAGAUUUUUUUUACAGAUUUGGUUGAGUGUAAAUCUAGUGGUGGUUUAACUUUA